rnacentral:tRNA from 1 species
GAGCCUGUAGCUCAGCUGGUAGAGCAUCUGACUUUUAAUCAGAGGGUCCAGGGUUCGAGUCCCUGCGGGCUCACCA